rnacentral:rRNA from 1 species
UACAGAGGGGGCAAGCGUUAUUCGGAAUUAUUGGGCGUAAAGGGACGCGUAGGCGGUUCUUCAAGUCUCUCGUGAAAUCCCUCGGCUUAACUGAGGACGUGCGGGAGAUACUGAAGGGCUUGAGUCCGGAAGAGGGUGGUGGAAUUCCCAGUGUAGCGGUGAAAUGCGUAGAUAUUGGGGAGGAACACCGGUGGCGAAGGCGGCCACCUGGGCCGGAACUGGACGCUGAGGCGCGAAAAGCGUGGGGAGCAAACGGG